AGUCAAGUAAUUAAGUGCAUGUGGUGGAUGCCUUGGCAGUCAGAGGCGAUGAAAGACGUGAUAGCCUGCGAAAAGCUCCGGGGAGGCGGCAAAUAUCCUUUGAUCCGGAGAUGUCUGAAUGGGGGAACCCACCUACUUUAAGGUAGGUAUUGCAACAUGAAUACAUAGUGUUGCAAGGCGAACGAGGGGAAGUGAAACAUCUCAGUACCCUUAGGAAAAGAAAUCAAUUGAGAUUCCCUCAGUAGCGGCGAGCGAACGGGGAUCAGCCCAUUAAGUUAUGUGUGUUUUAGUGGAACGCUCUGGGAAGUGCGAACGUAGAGGGUGAUAUUCCCGUACACGAAAGGGCACACAUAAUGAUGACGAGUAGGGCGAGGCACGUGAAACCUUGUCUGAAUAUGGGGGGACCAUCCUCCAAGGCUAAAUACUCCUGACUGACCGAUAGUGAACCAGUACCGUGAGGGAAAGGCGAAAAGAACCCCUGUGAGGGGAGUGAAAUAGAUCCUGAAACCGCAUGCAUACAAGCAGUGGGAGCACCUUCGUGGUGUGACUGCGUACCUUUUGUAUAAUGGGUCAGCGACUUAUAUUCAGUAGCGAGGUUAACCGUAUAGGGGAGCCGUAGAGAAAUCGAGUCUUAAUAGGGCGUUUAGUUGCUGGGUAUAGACCCGAAACCAGGCGAUCUAUCCAUGAGCAGGUUGAAGGUUGGGUAACACUAACUGGAGGACCGAACCCACUGUCGUUGAAAAGCCAGGGGAUGACUUGUGGAUAGGGGUGAAAGGCUAAUCAAGCCUGGUGAUAGCUGGUUCUCCCCGAAAGCUAUUUAGGUAGCGCCUCGGACGAAUACCAUAGGGGGUAGAGCACUGUUUCGGCUAGGGGGUCAUCCCGACUUACCAAACCGAUGCAAACUCCGAAUACCUAUGAGUACUAUCCGGGAGACAGACUGCGGGUGCUAACGUCCGUAGUCAAGAGGAAAACAAUCCAGACCGCCAGCUAAGGCCCCAAAAUCAUAGUUAAGUGGGAAACGAUGUGGGAAGGCAUAGACAGCUAGGAGGUUGGCUUAGAAGCAGCCACCCUUUAAAGAAAGCGUAAUAGCUCACUAGUCGAGUCGGCCUGCGCGGAAGAUGUAACGGGGCUAAAACUAUGUGCCGAAGCUGCGGAUGUAUACUUUGUAUACGUGGUAGGGGAGCGUUCUGUAAGCCGAUGAAGGUGUGUUGAGAAGCAUGCUGGAGGUAUCAGAAGUGCGAAUGCUGACGUGAGUAACGACAAAACGGGUGAAAAACCCGUUCGCCGAAAGACCAAGGGUUCCAGUCCAACGUUAAUCGGGGCUGGGUGAGUCGACCCCUAAGGCGAGGCCGAAAGGCGUAGUCGAUGGGAAAAUGGUUAAUAUUCCAUUACUUCUGUGUAAUGCGAUGAGAGGACGGAGAAGGCUAAAUCAGCCUGGCGUUGGUUGUCCAGGUGAAAGGAUGUAGGCAUGUAUCUUAGGCAAAUCCGGGGUACUCUAUGCUGAGAUCUGAUAGCAAGCUGUACUUGUAUAGCGAAGUGGUUGAUGCCAUGCUUCCAGGAAAAGUCUCUAAGCUUCAGUUACACAGGAAUCGUACCCGAAACCGACACAGGUGGUCAGGUCGAGUAGACCAAGGCGCUUGAGAGAACUCUGCUGAAGGAACUAGGCAAAAUGGUACCGUAACUUCGGGAGAAGGUACGCUGUUGUUGGUGAUGGAACUCGCUUCCUGAGCUGACGACAGCCGCAGAAACCAGGCCGCUGCAACUGUUUAUUAAAAACAUAGCACUCUGCAAACACGAAAGUGGACGUAUAGGGUGUGAUGCCUGCCCGGUGCUGGAAGGUUAAUUGAUGGGGUUAGCGUAAGCGAAGCUCUUGAUCGAAGCCCCAGUAAACGGCGGCCGUAACUAUAACGGUCCUAAGGUAGCGAAAUUCCUUGUCGGGUAAGUUCCGACCUGCACGAAUGGCAUAAUGAUGGCGGCGCUGUCUCCAGCAGAGGCUCAGUGAAAUCGAAAUCGCUGUGAAGAUGCAGUGUACCCGCGGCUAGACGGAAAGACCCCGUGAACCUUUACUGCAGCUUGACACUGAACUUUGACCUUACUUGUGUAGGAUAGGUGGGAGGCUUUGAAGCUGGAACGCUAGUUCCAG
rnacentral:rRNA from 1 species